UCUGGCAGCGAGCGAAUGGAUAGCCCGCCGCCGCCGCCGCAGCCGCCGCCCACAUCCCCCGCCCCGGCCCUGACCAUCUCCUGUACGCCUUAUGCGCCGUCCGCGUCUCAGCCUCACGCCCGCCCAGUUCGCCGGCGGCCCCUCUCCCUCGCUGCACGCGAGCAGGCUGCCGACCCCGGAUCCAGUGUCGUCCGGGUUUCCUCAUCGACGGUGAGAUCGGCUUGGUCUUCCUCGCGGUGGAGGCGUGGCGGCAGCAACGCCGGCCACGCCUUGGGUCGUGAGAGGCUCGAUAUCAAUCUCACCAAAUACUGGUGCUUUGGAUCAAUGACUAAUCUCCCGAGGUUGAUUUGCAAGGCUUGUGUGGACUGAACCUGUUCCUCUAAACCAAGGGGUCCUUCUGGCCCUUUUCCUGCAACUGGCAUGCGACAUAGCAAAUGAGACAUCUUUGCAGCUUCAAUGGAUACAAAGGCAUACCAAUUCCAGAAGAUGUGCACAAGGAAGUUAAUGUAACAAGCAUCUUGAAACUAACUUGUGGUGGCACUUGCUACAAAGGUAUCAAACAUAUCCCGUCAAAAAAAAGCAGUGUAUACAAGAAAGGAAGAUGUUUGAUCAUAUUAUCUGCUACAGAUCUGCAUCUGUAGAUUAAGUCAAUGUUCUGGAGCACUUGAUUAUGUGAGGUACCGUGGUCUUUUCGGGGUCUUUGAAUCUUGGAGAAAUGCCAUGUUGACCAUUGCGAGCUCUAUGCUCAUCUGCGCCCAGGUGCAGCUAUAGCAUGGUGAAGUAACACUACAUGUAGAGAAUAAAGAAAGGAAGAAUGAUGGUAAGAACCACUGAGAUACCGAGUCCGGCCAGCCAGAAGAGUGUCAGGAGAGUGUUUCUUCAUUGGAAGAGGACAAUAUCGGCCGGUUCAUUGAGCAGAGUGUUGGGAAGCUCACGAAAACACCCUUUCCAAACAGAAUUUCUUUUUCAUCAUUGUGAAGGUUGAUUUUACCUAUUUCACUUAGAUGGUGACCUCCCUGCACUCCCAUUUUUUGCUUAGGAUUCUCUUUUAAAUGGUGAGCGCUCAGAUUCUGAACAUUGGCUCGUUAGUACUGUUUUAUUAUUUUAAGAAAUUUAAGAAAAUAUGACCAAUGUGAUUUUGUUCUCUAAAGACUGGAAUUGAAUAGUAGGUCCUUUUGGUACUGUCCUAUUACGAUGUGUGGCUAAGAAAUGCAUCAGUUCGACUAGGCAUUAUCAUGUAUUGUACCGUAGUAUCAUUUUUGCAUAGACUAAAUACCUACUUUUGCUGAAGGUUACUUUUCUUUAUAAAAUUUGGUUCAGGAUGCCGUUUUGCCUGUUGUAGUACUUUCAGCAUAGAUGCAGUAGUGCUCUGCUCCCCCAAAGAUCUGUAGCUCGUGGAUGCGGUGGAUGUGGCACAUGGAGCAGAUGAAAUGGGAAUAAGAGGAUCCCCUGCACGUGCACAAAUUCUUGCUACCUGAUGGCUGACGGCGAGGAUACCUCUGACCUGUCUCGAGAAGGUUCGAGCCGCAGGACGAUGUGUACAGCGCACCACCAAUUCCUCCAACAGCACAGCUGUUGUACCGGUAGCAGCGACAACAACUCUCCACACAAGCGUCGCUAGCUGCUCCCGUCGAUGCACCUGAUGCCGUGUUCUGCCGGAGCCAAGGUCCAGCGCAUUUUAGUUUUGUGGGAUAGACAUGUUAGUUCAAAUGCCCAACGGGUUUGAUGCUGAAUUGUUCGUAUAAUCUUGCACCUAUUUUUGUAGUCAAAUAAUGAUUUUUAGAUGCAUUAGUUAAGAACACUGAUUUUUUUGGAAAGCUUUAUCAUGACAUCGAUCUUAAGGCCUCCUUUGGUUUGGAGGAUUUUUGUAGGAAUUUCAUAGGAUAGGAUUUUUGUAGGAAAAAUUCCUUUAGAGCCCUUUGGUUUGUAGGAAUGGAAUCAUAUUCCUAUGGAGGAAUUCUUCCUAUCCUUCACAAUUCAUAGGAAAAUAAACAUUAGCCUAGACUCAAUGCAAAAAAUCCUAUGAAGUGAAUCAAAGGACAUCUUCUUUCCUAUUCCUACUCAUAGGAUUUGAGAUACAUGUCAUCCCAUUUCCUAUGACUUUUCUAUUCCUAUGAUUUCCCAACCCUAUGAACCAAAUGAGACUAGUUUUGCUUUACUGCCAUGCAGAGGUUGGAUGGAGCGUCAAGGUGCUUGAUUCUUUUGGUCUUAUAGUGACUGCCGAGAUAUUCGUGUGUAAUGAUGAAGCACGUGGGGGUGUAGAUGAGGAUGAAAUGAGCCAGGGAGAAAUAUUGCUGGUAAAAAAAAGCCUCCCAGGCUGUCCUCGCCAAAAUUUACUCCUCCGUCAUCCGAUUUGGUUAAACAUUCCUUUAUUGACCCCUGGCUGCGUCAACUGGUGGACGCCGCCGGCUGCCCAAUGACCAUCAACACAUAUGAGCUUGCUUUAACCGGAGAUACUAGUGGAUCAAAGGCUUCGUCGGCUCAAAUAAACCAUCAUCAAGGUGGUACUGAUAUUCCUCAAGUUGCUGCUGAGAAUAUGAAACAACAAACUCUUUUUGACAAACUACCGGAUGACAUCUUACAUCGUAUACAUUCUCUCUUACCAAUACAAGAUGCUGCUUGUGCUGCCUGUGUGUCUCAUGCAUUUCUGCGUUCAUGGAGAUGCUAUUCCAAACUCAUACUCAACACUGUGCGCUUGGGUUGAAUCACAUAGAAUUUGAGGAAAGAAAAAUCUAUCUCAUUGACAAAGUUGACAAAAUUCUUAAAAACCAUCAUGACAAAGGGGUGAAGGUGGAGACACUUAGCCUUAUUCUUACCCCUUGCACCAAUAUCAAAGCCUCCUACCUGGACAGGUGGCUCCGAAGAACCGUUAAGUCUGGGUUUAAAAAUCUUUACUUGGAGAUGCCUUUAUCCAUGAAGAAAAUUUACAAAUUCCCGUGUUCAGUUUUGUCUGAUGAGGGAGCUGCAAGUUCAAUUCAGUUUCUUAACAUCGGCUCUUGCACUUUUCAUCCCACAUCAACACUUGGCUCCUUGCAAGGUUGAAAACUGUAAGAUUGUCUUUUGUCCACACUACCGAGGAAGGAUUGGAGCACUUGUUUUCAAAAUCUUCUACCUAAGAGGAGCUCAGAAUAUUCGCAUGCCAUGGGAUAAUUUGCUUGAAAGUACCUUGUACGAUGCGACAUCUCAAGAUACUUGAUGUUCAACUUUGCAGCAUGCUGCGGGUUGUAGAGAUUGAUGCUCCAAACCUCUGCUAUUUUAACUAUGACAGCGCUUUGCCAGAAUUCUACGUGAGAAAUUGUUCUCAACUUAAGCAUGUACAGUUAUCAUCUGCACGCUCGUCUGGUGUUCUUUUUUAUGCUCGCACUAUUCUUCCGUCCAUCGCACGGAAUGUUGAGUCUUAUUUUGGUUGGUCGUAGCGAGAAUGCCAACACUCCGUUGCUACAAUCCAAGCUACCCCACCUCAAGAACUUGGAAAUUAGACUCAGAGCAGUCCACCCCAAAGGCUCCCCUCCAAGCUAUGACUUCUUUUCUUUGGUUUCUUUUCUUGAUGCUUCUCCUGCCUUGGAGUCUUUCACCCUACACGUAAAUGAGUAUGUCAUGAAACACUAUCCUGUUGUUGGAGAUAAUUACGAAUGCCCGAAGCAGAAGCUGGACUUGUCGCAUAACCGCCUCAGACACAUGACGAUCACGGGAUUCUGUUCAGCCAAGAGCCUGGUUGAGCUCACGGUUCACAUCCUUGAGAGCACACACUCGCUUGAGCGCUUGACGCUGGACACAACCUAUGACUACAAUAGGUGUAUUCAAGGGCCUGGUACCAUUGGCAAAUGCACUACCUCAAGUAGGAUUGCCAAAUGCUGGCCGAUGAGCAAGAGAGGUGUUGACGAAGCUCAUAGAGCUGUGAAGACUGUUGGUAGAUACAUAGCUGGGAGAGUUCCAUUGGCUGUUCAAUUUGAGCUCAUGGGGCCCUGUAGUCGAUGCCAUACCGGCAGCCGGUAGAUCUAUGUCAGGGUGGUUUAUCUUGUCUAAGAGCAUCUCUAAUAGAUGGUCCAAAAUUUGGCGGUCCAAAACCGGAGAUGUAAAAUUUGGACCGCCAAAAAAUGCGUUUUGGAGCUCUGAAAAAAGCUCAACUCCAACAAAUGGUCCAAAUUGAUGGUUCAAAA